rfam:Triticum aestivum genome assembly, contig: Triticum_aestivum_CS42_TGACv1_scaffold_405421_5BL
AAAUUACUCCCUCCGUUCCAAAAUUCUUGUCUUAGAUUUGUCUAGAUACGGGUGUAUCAAGUCACAUUUGACUUGAUACACCCGUAUCUAGACAAAUCUAAGACAAGAAAUUUGGGACAGAGGGAGUAGUUG